GGAGUGUUUCACAACCGCAUCACACUCCUCAGUUCACCAUGGACAGAAAAGUGCUGUUGCUCCUGUUGAGUCUGCAGGUUUUCCUGCUCAUCACAGCCUUCACUUCCACAGAUGCGGCCACUCUGCCAGACGAUCCUCAGAAACAAUCUCUGGAUGUGGGAAUAACCAGGGAUGACAGACGAAAGGAAAGAGAAAGAGUCAAACGACAGUCCUGUGAAUCGUGGCCUGGUGGAUGUUCCAUCCUCGGCCUAAUGAUCAUGCGUAAUAUUCCUGAUUAUAAGAACGAUGAAACAACAUCAAAACCUCUCCAGGCCGUUCUGAAGAAAAACUGAAAUGUUGUUUUCGAUAUACAGGACAAAAAAAGUGAUCUGAAGAAAAGCCAGACGAAACACCGGAGAGCUGAAAACUGAGACCUUUACCGACUACAUCUUUUCUCUAAGAGACAUUUCUUUCCUUGUUAAAAGAAAUAUUUUUCAUUGUUUCCAUGUACUGUUAUGAAGGCAAUAACCAGUGAAGCUUUGCAUGAUUUAAGAAAUCCCUAUAUUCUUCACUGAUAUGUAUACUUUAGCUCCCUGUAUCUGCAUUAAAAAAUCAAUAAUCUUCAGUAUGCAUUUGCACUUAUCACACCUGACUGAAGGAAAGCAUGAAUCAUUCAAACUUGCAGAAAGGUUUUAUGGCCUUACUCAUGUUCUUCAAUGAAAUAAUACGCUUUCUUCAAGUGCUGCUGAUUUCACAACAGUUCACUUUGUGUAUUCUGUGCUGCAAAAUAAAGCUGACUGGAGUAGAAAUUUU